GGAGGGGUGCCUGAGUGGUUAAAAGGGGCGGACUGUAAAUCCGUUGACUAUGUCUACGUUGGUUCGAAUCCAACCCCCUCCACCA
rnacentral:tRNA from 3 species